AAGAUUCAAUCUGCUCAAUAAUCUAAAAAUCCAUUCCCAAAACUCUGAAAUAAAAAAAAAAUGGAAUCUGAACAUGAAGUUUCGACACCAGUCUCUGCUGAAGAAUUAAAAGCCGAAAUUGCAGUUUUGCAAGAAAAAUUAGCCGCCGGAGAAGACGUCUCACAUGAGUUAGAAGAAAAAGAAAAAGCUCUUGCAAAUCAUUCCGAAUAAUUUUUCGCAAAUCCUAACACUAAAAUAACCUCCAAUAAUGUAUUUAUAUUCAAUAGAAUUAGAACGAUUUAAUUGUAUUUGAAAUAAUUAACUAUUUUAAAUUAUCAAUAAAUAUACAUUUUUUAUAUUUUUCUA